AGGGGAGGGGAGUGGGUAUUGUGCGGUGUGGGGGGAGAAUUCCUACGGGUGGGUUUCCGAAUAUUGUGUUCAACUUUUUGAAAGCAGCUCGUGACCCCGAAACUGCAUCCCCUGGAGCCGAGGACCCAGGCGCCGGGCGGGCGGGUGUACCCACCCAGUCCCCUCCCAGUCCCCGCAACACCCGCCUCCGGGUGGGGGCGACACGGUCUCUCCCCGCCGCUGCGCCGCUGGCCCCGGACGGAGGCUGGGCAGGUGCCGCGAGCUCUGCCGAAAGCGCUGAAAUCGAAAACCAUCGCCACUCAGGGAGCACUGAGGCCAAGUGGGGCUGAGACUCUGCUCGGCAACAUCCCUUCCCCAGCCUCGGCUGGGGUUCCUGCCGACCCGCCGCAUCACGCCUGCUCCGGUGGCGGCCGCGGCUUAGGGAGCGCAAAGCAGGGCGGCGGCAAAGCACGCAGCUUUGUGUGCUGGGACAGGGCCCGGCGCAGCCCGGCAAACCGGCAGCCCGGGCUGUCAGAGCCUCGGGGUACAGCCCAGCUCCGCGCCACCCACCGAGCCCACCGAGCCCACCUCGCGGUCCAGUUGCCGCCAACGCCUCUCUGCUCUGGUCUGAUGCACCGCACCCGCCGCCCGGAGCCUCCGCCUGACCCUAGCGCAGAGCUUCGAGCCUGACCGGCCACACCCCGCAUGGCCAGAGAAAGAAUUUUCUGUUUCCAACUUCGGCUUUUGGUUUUGUGUGUCCACCUCGCGCAGCUCCGGAGCCGGCCGGCCCCAAAUGGAGUCUCAACAGGUGGCCGGCAAAGUUUGGAGACUUACCACACUGAGGAGAAAGAGAGGACCAUCUCUACCCAAGCUGAAUUCUGAAGAAAACCUGGUCCUAGCUUCCAGAAAUCCUCAAUGUAGGCAAAGUUUUGGCUCAGUCACCAAGCAUAAAACAGAAGCUGAAUCCAUUACUCAAAUUUUCAAAUUAACCAGAGGACACGUGGAAAAGCCUUUCUUUGGGGUGGCUGGUUAGCUCAGGUGGUUAGAGCACGAACUCAUA